rnacentral:rRNA from 1 species
GAUGAACGCUGGCGGCGUGCCUAAUACAUGCAAGUCGAGCGAACAGACGAGGAGCUUGCUCCUCUGACGUUAGCGGCGGACGGGUGAGUAACACGUGGAUAACCUACCUAUAAGACUGGGAUAACUUCGGGAAACCGGAGCUAAUACCGGAUAAUAUAUUGAACCGCAUGGUUCAAUAGUGAAAGACGGUUUUGCUGUCACUUAUAGAUGGAUCCGCGCCGCAUUAGCUAGUUGGUAAGGUAACGGCUUACCAAGGCGACGAUGCGUAGCCGACCUGAGAGGGUGAUCGGCCACACUGGAACUGAGACACGGUCCAGACUCCUACGGGAGGCAGCAGUAGGGAAGCUUCCGCAAUGGGCGAAAGCUUGACGGAGCAACGCCGCGUGAGUGAUGAAGGUCUUCGGAUCGUAAAACUCUGUUAUUAGGGAAGAACAAAUGUGUAAGUAACUAUGCACGUCUUGACGGUACCUAAUCAGAAAGCCACGGCUAACUACGUG